ACUCUCGAUAAUAUUUGAACUUCUUUACAUAAUUUUGAGAAUCAAAAUCCAAAUUUUGGCAAGAGAGAGAGAGAGAGAGAGCAUGUUCAGCAUUUUGGCCAUUAGUAUAACAUAGAAACAAUAUACAAGAGAGAACUACAAGACCACUUGCUAAAAACAGGCAUUACAACAAACAGAUAAAAUACGCAAGAACCAAGCCACAUUGUCCCAAUUCAAGACCACCUCAUAUAGAAGUUAAAAGAAAAAGGAACUAAAAAAGAGGAAAAGAAACGAAGCAAAAGGGUUCAAUGAGUGAUAAUCAAAAUCCCCGGUGGGAGAAAGUUGAACCUUGGCUGCACUUAUGGGUGCUUUAAGUAUCUGGUGCAAGUGACAAUCAAAGAAGAAAAGAAGCUAAAAAGAUAAUUAAAUAAAAAAAGGAGGAGUUUGUGGAUCAGAUGGACAUGAGAGAGCCCUGUGCUUCUCGCGUUCACUUCUAGAAGUAGAACAGCGUUCAGCUAGAAGGAGCAAAUGGAGGGGUCUUUAAUUGGGUGUGCUCAACCACAUGGUAUUUACGAUAAGCGCCUUUCUUGAAAACGAGGUCAAACUCAAAAGUCAAAACCAUAUACCAACUGAAGUCUAAACCGAGAGAGAGAGAGAGAGAGCUGGUAUACUAUCAAGCUGGAAGGAAAGAUUGUAUUGUGGGCGAAGAGGAGGAAGAUGAAGCAGCAUCACGAGUGGCCGUGUGCGGGAUAUGGGCGGCCACUCUUCUUGACGGAGAGAUGCUUCCUUUUGGGUGCCCUUUAUCCGGUCUUGUUCUUGGCCUCAUCUUCAUCGUUCUCCGCUUUCAUCUACCAAUUCCACGGGCAAUCUUUCAUCUGUCCUGCCUUUGAAAACUGAUAUGAUUUUGUUUUUGGGUGAUUUACAUUGAUGGAGGCCCUUAUUUCUCACAUCAAGAGCAUAUCUUUGGUUUGAAUGCAGAAGGAAAAUAUACAGAUACGAAGGUCUACUUCAUUCCUGGAAACCACGGUAUUGGCUAUGCAAGCAUCAAUUCUCAUAAACCAGAGGUUGUCAUACAAUAUAUAGAAGAAUUUGGGAUUAGAAAUUUCCGUUUUACAGCUGGUAAAGUGGAGUUUAUAGCUAUCGAUGCUCAAACUCUUGAUGAUAAGGCAGUUUUCCAAUCUUCAACAUCCAUAAAAUUGCCUUAAAUGCUACAAUUUCAUGUUAUUUAUAUAUUAUGGAAGCGUAGCAGUUGCAUCUCAUUCUAAAUACCCAAGCUAAAUUGUUGUCAUGGUCUCCAUAUGGAUUUAUAAAAUGGGCAAUACUUAUAAAACUAAGCAGCUUUCUCUCAAUUCAUAAUUACUGUUAACCCACUUUUCAAAUGCUUUAAGUUUAUUCUCCUUACUGGAGAUUGUGGAUCUUUAUAUGCUCUUCUCACGCUUGAACUCACCCAUGUGUUAUUUUGUUAUAUGCUCAUCCGAUUACACAUUCUGCUCUUUGUCGAGAAAUAAAGUGAGCUUCUUAUACUCUUUCUAAUGCAAUGGGCACAGGAGAAUCAUACGAAAUUGUAGAAUUCAGUCAAGCAGCUAUUUGUUUUAUGGUCUGGUAGAUGGUUCCAUGCUUCAGGGUUUGCUUUAAUAAGUUGCAGUUUUCUCUGUGUCCAUGUGUAUGGCAGCCCAAUGGUUAUUAGUGUGAAAGAUUGAACUUGGUAUUAAGUUGGGAGAAUGUAUGUUUUCAUGGCCGUAUGCCCAAGGAUGUUCAAAGAAGUGUCAUCGCUUUUGACAUUCAACAAAUCUAUGAAAAUAGCAUUUGUAAAAUAGGUAAUUGUAGAAACAAAAGGGGGAAAAGAAGAUUUCUUGUCUUUGUUUCUCUAUACCUAAACCACAUACAAAUAUAUGCAUAUAAACAUGUCCUUGGGGAAGAUACUGUAACUGGAGAUACUAUAUAUGGUUUCAUGCAGGCACUACUUUUAUCAGGACAUGAUCAUAACCAGUGUAAAGUGAUACAUGGGUCAAAAUUUGGGCCCAUAACGGAGGUAAUCAUUCUGGUAUUUUGGCAUUUAUAAGUUUCUGGGGAUAGGCUUUAAUUGAUAAUAGUAUGCAGCACACUUUAGGGACUAUUACCUGGCAGCAGGGAAACUUGUUUCCGUCUUUCAUGCUAUUGUCUGUUAGCAACUCUGCAAAUGCCAACAUCCACCCCAGAGAAAUGCAUUAAUUUCUCAACUGUGCUUUCUUCCAUGGCAAAUGCAUAUUUACAUAACUCUCACUCUGGAUGAAUAGUAGUAGUUAUCUUGGGAGUUUUUGGGAAAGGGGUAUUGGAGAUUAAUUCAAAAUUUUCAACUACCAAAAUUAGACUUGGUCUUUAGUUGUUAAUUUUUUGUAAUCUCAAUGACUAAAAAAAAUUGAAAUCCAAAUCAACCCGUUUGAAUUAAGUUCCAACAAGGGGUUGGGUAGAUAAUGCUGUCUAGUAUCUACUUAUUUUAACGUUAUAUCAUUAAUAUUGCCCUGGUAUCUUUCCCUUUUCACUCUGAAUGUACUUUAAUCAUUUGGCCAAGAAGUGUUGGGCAUCACUUGAGUGGCUUAGUGUAAUGUAUUAGACUUUACAGAAGCAUGUUUAGAGGAGAAAAAGCGAACAAGGAAGAUAAGAAUUAUGAAUAUGAAAUGAUGUGGGAUGCAGAAGGAGCAAUGCAUCUUGUGAAGAAAGCAGCAGAUUCUCCUAUUUGGCACCCAAGUGAUAAAGCUGCUGUUGAAAGGUGUUUCAUCUCUGCAUUCUCAUCAGCAUAUAGUAGCUGCCAGUAAGAUACGUAAGACAACUAUUAUGUCUGGAUAUUGGUUUUUCUUGAUUCUUUCCAAGCCCAAUUGUUGUGUGAACUCAACGAAGGGAGUUUUGACUUUUGAACUUCGCUUCUUUAAGAGGGUGUUCAAAUCUCAAUUAAGUUGAAAUAAAUCUGUUUAUUUUAUUUA